UCCACCAUCUCCUCGCGUAUAUGCAACUUCAGCAAAGAAUAGGUUGCCAGUGUCAACACCAUAAGAUCCUUUGGUCUUUGCAGUGAAAUUCAUAUGAAAGUACGUCCAAUGGAUAUAAUAAUCCUCCCAGAGCGGCUUGCCAUGCAGAAAAUCUUUGACCUCAUAUGCAAGAUCCUAAAAUAAGAGGUGAUCUGAUCAGUGGUUGCAAUUUGUUACAUGAAUAGGUGAGGCAAUAAGAGUAUAAGACGCAAUACAGCCGUGCUAGCAGGACAGAGGGAGGCUGGAGGGAGGAACAAGUGCCAACCCCAAAAAGAUUAUGAGGGUCGUUAUACAUGUCCACCAAAGCUCGAGCCAACUGGUAAUCCUCAUCACGCCUUUUAUCUUUGACUUUUGAUCCACGCUUCUUUGUGCCAUCAGGAUAGUAACGAACACGUUUUACAAUCGCAUCCACUUGAGAAAGCCCCGCACACCUAGUUCAGAUUUAGAGCAUUUCUAUAUGAUUAGCUGAUUGUGCCUACUCAAAAGUGGAUGAAUACAUACAGAUUGAUAAAGGUAAUCAGAACAACACAAAUUAUAGAAAAAAGACAGGGCUGGCUAAUUAAAUGAAAGGAUUUCAAACCAAAAUCUUUGCUAAGCUGUUGAAUACAAAAAACAGAAGAGAACAGAACUGUUCCCAUGUCUGUGAGUUGGGGACCUGAUUUUUUUUAAGAAAUUUAAAAAAAAAACGAAUAGUACUACUAAUCAGCGUCAAGUAUUUCCGAACGCUGAUUUAAUACAUAUGUUAUCAAUGGUGCUAUCCACAUUGACAGAAUCACAGAACGUUAAAGACUGUCUGUCGAGUACCUCCCAUGGAUACCUCCGGUGGGGCUAUGGCCGCUCUUCAUGUGUUCCCCACGCCCAUUGACGGAAAUAAUCUCACCCCCAACGGCGAUGGGAACGUCAAAGUGCACCACCUUGGAGUAGCCCGGACGGAGGCGCUCGGAUGGCCUGGGAACGAUUAGGGUUUGGAGUAAAGCAAAAGGAACGGUUCUGUGCUACUAGUAUUUGUAUGCAUGUCGAUCCGACUCGCAAGUCCGUUUGGGGAGCGGUCCGGACUCUUAUCGUUCAAUCCAACGGAGUGGAGAAAAAACAUGAUGGGCUGGCUGCUGGAACGGCCGGCCCAUUAAUAGAUACAUUUUUUCCCUUUUCAAUAGAUUCAAAAUUAGACUACUAAAAAAUAUUAUAUUUUAAAAGAUAGACUAUACUUUCACAAAUAUUAUAUCGUGGGAAACCACUUUUGAGUACAAAUUUAGUGGUACACUUUUUGUAGCAUAUACCUCAUAUUUUGCUAUCAUAUAGAUGGUCAAAGUUUGACCCAAAUACGAAUGAGCAAGUAAUAACGUCAACUUAAUCUACGGCCGGGGCUAAAAGUUUCUUCGCAAAAUCAUUAAAAAUUGGUUGACUCAGCCAAAAUUUAUGCAGUUUUGCUAAUCCCCAGGUAACUAAAAUAGGAGUCACGCCAGUCGACUCUGUAUGAGAAAGGAGCAAAGCCCCGGUCCCGAGACUGAGCGCCAGCAAGGUGCGGAGACACCAAAUAGGAAGUGAGCUGGAGGAGGUGAGUUAGAGGGUUUGACAGCUAGGGUUCCUCUGCUACAUGCCGGCGCCGCCGCCGGUCCGUCUCGUGUAUGGUGAGUUAGAGGGUUUGACAGGUGCAGGCGGGUGGGGGACUUUCAUUUUGACUAGUUGUUUGGGCAUCUGCAACCACAAUAGGUAAAUUUGACACCUCAAACGUCUUGGGUCAGUGUCUGGACAUGUCCUUCUGAAGACUCCAUUUGUGCAUGCAUGCAACCACGCCCCAUACUUUGUUCUUCAAUUGUCCACUCAAAUAGAUGUGAUUGGUGGAGAUGGUGAGGGAGAUAAAAGAAAGAAUAAAGAAAGAUAAAAGGUGGUCCAAGGGGGAAAAAACCUACGUGGCGUCCUGCCCGGACACACCGGGAAAUCCCCAUAUCCUUCCCAUAUAUGUCUUGGAUAUGAGGAUUUGCGGAUAGCCCAGGCAUAUGAGUACAAAGUAGGGGUCUGGUUGGGUGGUUUUUUUUCCUUCUCUCUCCUCUCCGGGCAAUGAUCGGCCUGUCCGGCCAGACGUCUAGGGAGGAUAUGAGUGGUCCGGUUGUAGAUGCUCACUUUACCUUCAUAUUACCCCUUUUGAUAUCAUGCAAGUUAUGUGGAUUAAAAAAAUCCAUGGGCGUAUUUCAGUAUGCAAGUUUACCUUCUAUUAAUUUUUUUUUCUGCUAAAAAAAUUUAACCUUCUAUCAUUGUACUUUUUUCAGUUUGGUGUGCAUAAUUUCUUCGAACUGUAUCAUGCAGGUAUCAAACAUCUUCAAGUGACUCCACAUUCUCUUUGGUGUGGACAGAUAGGGAUACAAUGACUAUCGUGAUCCCAAAGAAUACCCCACACCCACUAGGGAAUAGCAAAUCCUCACCAGUUUCCAUGACAACCGGACUUUUGCCGAUAUAAGUCUUUACAAGGGUGAUGUGCAAGCUUACAACUUGUUUAGCUAGUUCACCUUAAUGACCAUAACCACUAUCCCCAAAAGUAAAAAAAUGAAAACUUUUGAUCUAUUCAUCAUCUACCAAGCCGGUACAAAGAACACCAUAAGUAAUAAAAAUUACAUUCGGGUUCGUAGACCACCCAAAGGAGGGGAUGGGAGGCAACCCGGAGGUGAACAGUGGAGGAGGAACGAUUCGAGAAGGAAGAAAUCUAGAGAAAGGUGGAAGAAUAACGAUCAUUGAAGCUAAUCCAAUGGUCCCAAAUGGACUUGACCAAAAUAAAAUAUAAGGCGAUUUACCUAUAGUCAGACCCAUACUAAAUAAUUAACCUUUUAGCAUGACCGUGAUCUUACUUUGGUUUUCAUUCGAUGUAUAAGAUUGGAUCAGAAUAGCCUUCUUAAUUAUAUUUUCAUGGUCUUUCAGUCUUCUAUUCGAGAAAAUACUUUGGUUGUUUUGGUUAUAUAAUAAUUGUAUGAAAUAAUUUAUUGAUCAAAUUACAAUAAAAAAAGUAGAGAAUGAUUC
rnacentral:lncRNA from 1 species